UUUUAUCAACGAAAAUCAAUAUGCUAUAUUUUGACUAUAUAUACUUUCCAGCGGGCCAAUCGGCAUGUAAAUUCACAUCAACUGAACUAAAUUGGAUUUCAAACACGGCAUGAGCACCGAAGACAACUCACUUGAAUUUGACGGUGUUAUGAUUUCACGAAGCAUAUAAUAUGACGACCAAAAAGUACAACAACACGAAGCCUUCAUUAUGAAUAUGCAGAUAUACUGAAUCGACAAAAGCAAAAUUUGCAUUUUGCGGAGGUGUGAUUACCAGAAAUGAAAAAAGAGAUUAUUCAUCAUCACUCAACUACUAAGACUUUUUGGAGAACAAGUUGUACAAAAUAAAACAGCUGUCUCACUGCCCACAUAUUGUGUAUGUUAUGAUUAGCCUCGCCAUAAAUUAAUUAAAAAUGAAUUUAAGA